rnacentral:rRNA from 1 species
AUUGAACGCUGGCGGCAGGCCUAACACAUGCAAGUCGAGCGGCAGCGGGAAAGUAGCUUGCUACUUUUGCCGGCGAGCGGCGGACGGGUGAGUAAUGCCUGGGAAAUUGCCCAGUCGAGGGGGAUAACAGUUGGAAACGACUGCUAAUACCGCAUACGCCCUACGGGGGAAAGCAGGGGACCUUCGGGCCUUGCGCGAUUGGAUAUGCCCAGGUGGGAUUAGCUAGUUGGUGAGGUAAUGGCUCACCAAGGCGACGAUCCCUAGCUGGUCUGAGAGGAUGAUCAGCCACACUGGAACUGAGACACGGUCCAGACUCCUACGGGAGGCAGCAGUGGGGAAUAUUGCACAAUGGGGGAAACCCUGAUGCAGCCAUGCCGCGUGUGUGAAGAAGGCCUUCGGGUUGUAAAGCACUUUCAGCGAGGAGGAAAGGUCAGUAGCUAAUAUCUACUGGCUGUGACGUUACUCGCAGAAGAAGCACCGGCUAACUCCGUGCCAGCAGCCGCCGCGGUAA